UUCAUAAUAUUUACUUUGAUUGAGGAACAAAGUUUACAUAAAUAUUCAAACGAUUAUGAAAUGUCCUUCAAAUGAAGAGUUGUUUGUAAUAAUUCCAACAAACAAAUUUCAACUUUCAAAUCUCUAGAGUUGAUGAUAUUUUCCUCAAGCUCUGAGAGAUCCAUCUUUCAUUCAACCUAGUUGGGGGCGUAUAAGUAAGACACUUUCGAACAUCCAAAAAUUUCCACAAGCUCUAAAAGAUGUAUCUUUCAUCCAACCUGUCUGGAAAUUUCCACAAGCUCACACUUAUUAUAAAAGAAGAGAAAUAUAAAUAUAAGUAGAACAAACAUGGAGAAAAUGCUUUCAUAAUAAUCAUUUAAUACCUAUAUAGGAACCGAAUCCUAGAAGCUACCCGAUAUAAUUAUAUUACCACCUGAGAGCAUACCUUUACAAAGCACAAUUGAGAAGUCGAGAUCCUUCACCUUUUCUAUUUCUUUUUCAGCUCUAAGAAAAGCAGAACAACAACAAAUUUUGAAUGAUAAGUGGAAGUCCUAAGUAAGUUACUUAUUUUCAAAAAAAUAGUAAAAGACCAAAAUUAGUUUUUUGAUAAUAGGCAUAAUACAAAAUGCUUCUAUAAUAAUCAUUAAAGCAGACGAAGCACUUAGUAGAAUAGACAAAGAUAUAGUAAGUCUAGAAGAGGAAGAAAACACAGUAGAAAAGGUUGCAGGAACUUUUAAAGGAACAUAGGAACAGUCCACAACUUCAUCCAUAAGCAAAACUCGGUUUUUCAUGUGCACCAGAAAUGCGGGAUGAUAUUUCAAUUAGAGUAGGUUCCAAUUCUUUACCUGAAAAAGUGGUGAUGUUCAGUAAACUUAAAUUCAUGAUUUCCUCACAAUCUCUGUACAAAUAAAUGAAGGCGAGAUUACAAUAAUAACUAUGUGUUAUUCCUAAAUAAGUUAUAAUUGAGCAAAAAAUAUACCUUGUGUGAGGAGAGCGACUACACUAAGCUAUGAACAAAUAUUUAUAUGUGAUCUUCUAAUUUCCAAAAGUGAAAGAAGAACUUUAUAUUUGACAAUUUUUUGCAGGUAAAAUGAGUGAAGUUAUCUCAGACAUUUACUUUUUUCUGUGUUCAGCUCUGUCUGCAUCCCUAUUUAAAUUCAUAUGUUCUGUAACAAACAUAACUUUGGGUAAGGUUUGUGUACACUUUACCCUCUGCAAAUCCCACCUAUAUGUAUUGUUAUUGUUAUAGUGAGCAGAAUUAUGUUCAAUUUAUUUAUGAGGGUAAUUAAGCAUCUAAUUUGAUAGAAUAAAAAUAAAUCUCUCCCUUUAUUAUAAUUGGAGAUACACAAUCUCUACUGGAGAAUUUUACUCCAAGUAAGCUAAGGAAAAUAGAUUGGAAAUAAGAACAACAACCAUCAUAUAGAUACACAAUAACAAAUAAAUAAAAAUCAAAUGACAAUUGUAUAUAUACAUAUACGAAUGUAUAUAUGCAUACAUAUGUAUGUAUACAUAUGUCUAUAUACAUAUAUACAUAUAUACACACACACACAUAUAUAUAGAAUUUUCUAAGUUUUCUAUUCUUCUUCUUCUUCUUCUUCUUCUUCAUAAAACACCAAUUUAGUAUAUCUUCUAUAUUUUAUAUUAUAUUUAUUUAUAUUGUAUUAUAUGAAAAGCAGACACAUUUUCACAUACCUUUUCAUGCUACUCUUUGUUGGUUAUAAAUAAAUGACUUUUUCAAAGAGUUGUGAUCUUUCUGAAAGAUUGUUCUUAUUCUUCUUAAAAUAGCCAAUUUAGUAUAUCUUCUAAAUUUUAUAUUAUAUUAUAUUAUAUUAUAUUUAUAUAACUUUACAUUAUAUUAAAAGCAAACACCAUUUCAUAUUGAAGGGUCGUGACUUUUUCAAAGGGUUAUGACUUUUUGAUGAGUUGUGAGUUGUGACCUUUUCUAAAGUAGUAACUUUUUAGAAGGAUUCUAAAUUUUUCAACGAGUUGUGACUUUUUCAAUGAGUUGUGACAUUUCCUAAGAAGAGUUGUGGCUUUUUUUUUGAAAAGCUGUGACUUUUCUGAUAAGACACAAAAAGUACAUUUUUAUACUACCUUUGUUGACUAUAAAUAAAGAAGUUUCCUCACAUUUUUUCAAGUAUGAAUUUUCUAUGUUUUUUAUUCUUCUUCUUGUUAAAACACUCAAUUUAGUAUAUUUUAUAUUAUAUUAUAUUAUAUUAUACAAUAUUUAAUAAUAAUAAUAAUACAACGAAACCAGGAUCUCAGAAGAUGGGCGGUAGUCCGCACAGUCAUCUUCAAUCUAGCUUGUUAACAUCCGAAUUCAAGGAAUAAAUUCAAAUCGAAAUAUAUACAAAUUUUUAUAUAGUUUUAUGAAUGUAUGGAAGGAUCUAGUCCUUUUACCCGAGCAAAGGAUCUGUCAAGAUUCAAAUACGUAUUGUUAUUGAGCCCAUGUGUCUAGCAGUUCUAAUCGGGUAUAGAGAGCCCUUUUUCAACUCAUUAACGGGCUUUGGACCACGNNNNNNNNNNNNNNNNNNNNNNNNNNNNNNNNNNNNNNNNNNNNNNNNNNNNNNNNNNNNNNNNNNNNNNNNNNNNNNNNNNNNNNNNNNNNNNNNNNNNNNNNNNNNNNNNNNNNNNNNNNNNNNNNNNNNNNNNUUUAUAUUUAGAUAAAGUCUAGAUCUUUCAUGGUAGAUAUAAAAGUGAAGUUAGAUAUCCGACAUAGAUAUGAAUAUUUUAGCCGGACAUAGUCACGACUCUAGAUCGGAGAAAGAGAAGAAGAUAAAAGAAAGGAAGAAUAAAAGUACCUUGUAGUCGUGGCCAACACCAGGGCCUAUGAGAACUAUACACUUUAUUGACAACUCCGGUAAGUAUUCAGAGAACUUACAAAUUACAAAAGAGGAAGCUUUACAAAAGAGAAACUAAGAGAGAGAGAGAGAGA
rnacentral:lncRNA from 1 species